GCGGAGGAAAAGAAACCAACUGGGAUUGCCUCAGUAACGGCGAGUGAAGCGGCAACAGCUCAAAUUUGAAAUCUGGCGCCUUGGGCGUCCGAGUUGUAAUUUGUAGAGGGAGUCUCGGGUUAAGGGUCGGUCCAAGUGCCUUGGAACAGGAUACCGAAGAGGGUGAGAGUCCCGUAUCCGGCCGACGCCAGCGCCCGUGUGAGGCCCCUUCGACGAGUCGAGUUGUUUGGGAAUGCAGCUCUAAAUGGGUGGUAAAUUCCAUCUAAAGCUAAAUACUGGCCAGAGACCGAUAGCGCACAAGUAGAGUGAUCGAAAGAUGAAAAGCACUUUGAAAAGAGAGUCAAACAGUACGUGAAAUUGUUGAAAGGGAAGCGUAUGUGGGCAGACUUGGACGCUGGAUUCAGGCCGCCUUCUGGCGGGUGUAUUUUCCAGCGGACAGGCCAGCAUCGGUUCUGAGGGCCGGACAAAGACGAAGGGAAUGUGGCUCCUCUCUGGGGAGUGUUAUAGCCCGGCGUGCAAUGCGGCCACUUGGGACCGAGGACCGCGCAUUUGC
rnacentral:rRNA from 1 species